UACGUAGGUGGCAAGCGUUAUCCGGAAUUACUGGGCGUAAAGCGCACGCAGGCGGUCUUUUAAGUUUGACGUGAAAGCUCCCGGCUUAACUGGGAGAGGUCGUUGAAGACUGGAAGACUUGAGGCAAUGAGAGGGGUGUAGAAUUCCCGGUGUAGUGGUGGAAUGCGUAGAUAUCGGGGGGAAUACCAGUGGCGAAGGCGGGUCUCUGGGCCGAUACUGACGCUGAGGAGCGAAAGCGUGGGGAGCGAACAGG
rnacentral:rRNA from 1 species